UACAGAGGUCCCAAGCGUUGUUCGGAUUCACUGGGCGUAAAGGGUGCGUAGGUGGGCCUGUAAGUCAGUGGUGAAAUCUUCAAGCUUAACUUGGAAACUGCCAUUGAUACUAUAGGUCUUGAAUUAUCUGGAGGUAAGCGGAAUAUGUCAUGUAGCGGUGAAAUGCUUAGAGAUGACAUAGAACACCCAUUGCGAAGGCAGCUUACUACGGAUUGAUUGACACUGAGGCACGAAAGCGUGGGGAUCAAACAGG
rnacentral:rRNA from 1 species